UACAAAGGGGGCUAGCGUUGUUCGGAAUCACUGGGCGUAAAGGGCGCUGAGGCUGCUUGAUAAGUCGGGGGUGAAAGCCUGUGGCUCAACCACAGAAUUGCCUUCGAUACUGUCGAGCUUGAGACCGGAAGAGGUAAGUGGAACUGCGAGUGUAGAGGUGAAAUUCGUAGAUAUUCGCAAGAACACCAGUGGCGAAGGCGGCUUACUGGUCCGGUUCUGACGCUGAGGCGCGAAAGCGUGGGGAGCAAACAGG
rnacentral:rRNA from 1 species